rnacentral:rRNA from 1 species
GACAGAGGGGGCAAGCGUUGCUCGGAAUUACUGGGCGUAAAGGGCGCGUAGGCGGGAUGGCAAGUCGGUCGUGAAAUCCCUCGGCUCAACCGAGGAACGUCGAUCGAUACUGCUGUUCUUGAGGAUUGCAGAGGAGACUGGAAUUCCCGGUGUAGCGGUGAAAUGUGUAGAGAUCGGGAGGAACACCAAUUGCGAAGGCAGCUCGCUGGGACGUUACUGACGCUGAGACGCGAAAGCGUGGGGAGCAAACAGG